rnacentral:rRNA from 1 species
GACGAACGCUGGCGGCGUGCCUAACACAUGCAAGUCGAACGAGGUCCAUCCUUCGGGAGAAGACCUAGUGGCGAACGGGUGAGUAACACGUGAAGAACCUGCCCCGAAGACCGGGAUAACCCUCCGAAAGGAGAGCUAAUACCGGAUACCCCCACCGAACCGCAUGGUUUGGUGAGGAAAUGGAUUCCGCUUCGGGAGGGCUUCGCGGCCUAUCAGCUAGUUGGUGGGGUAACGGCCCACCAAGGCAUCGACGGGUAGCUGGUCUGAGAGGACGAUCAGCCACACUGGGACUGAGACACGGCCCAGACUCCUACGGGAGGCAGCAGUGGGGAAUCUUGCGCAAUGGGCGAAAGCCUGACGCAGCAACGCCGCGUGGGGGAUGAAGGCUCUCGGGUUGUAAACCCCUUUCAGCAGGGACGAAUCAAGACGGUACCUGCAGAAGAAGCCCCGGCUAACUACGUGCCAGCAGCCGCGGUAAU